rnacentral:lncRNA from 1 species
AUGAUUUGAGAAAGGUUUUUUUUGUAAGAAUUUUUAUUAAGAAAAUAUGUGGCAAUGGAUAACGCAUUGUUUUUCCUUAUCGCAGUUAGAUGUUUAUAUCUGUUCGUGUUUAGUUUGGGUUAAAAAUCAUUUACUAGGAAUUUGUAUGUCAUUUUCUCCGAUAAAAACGAUAUACCACAGUGAAAGUAGAAUCAAAUAGCCUAACACUGAACCAUUUACCGCCCGCAGUUUGGGGGUGGUUUUUCUCAAAGCUAUGAAUGUAGCUAACGUAUACGUGAGUUAGCCAUAUUGCACGUCAGUGUGUCGCGUUUUAGUUUAUAGUAUUCAAACAAAUUCUAGGCUUGGUGUCUGCAGUUUGGUCAGAAGAUUAAAUACUACUAUCAUAGAAACAGGACAACAAAUUUACUUUAUUCUAUAAAAAACAUUUUUAUAUUUAUUGAAACUGUGAUAAAAAUUAUAGUAAAUUUUGAUACGUAAUAAACAAAUUUGAUAAUGAAUUUGUUUAAGAAGAUAUAUUUUUUAUCCUAAAUAUAAGAGAAAAUACACUUAUUUUAUUAGUGCUUAACCUAUAUCCUACAGUGACAUAAGAUAUGCCAGUAAAACUAGAAAAGGUUUCACCAACAUUUUUGUAUUGCACAUGUAGUCCUGUACACAAUUUGAAUAAAAGAGCAUGACUAGAAAGUCUGUCGUAUGGAGUUCAUAAACAGGGAUUUCUUUCUUUUCUGUCUUCAUUUUUCCUCAACUUUAUGAGAGUUAUAAUCUCACAAUGCUGACGUAAAUACAAGUAUAUGCAAAUACUUUACUUAAUUUAAUACAUGUUCUUAGGUUGCUGUCUCGUUGAAUUGUUCCCUAUACCUACAUCAUCAGCAAAAGAUUUUAAAAUAUUCUUUUACAUCUAUAAAUAAAAUUGACAAUAUAAAUGUGGAAUGUGUCAAAAAUACAGCAACCGGACCAAAGAUUGUUGUUGCUUCAAGUCACAAUUGCCACUUUUGUGACACAUUGGCAAGUUAUCAUUUCUACUUUCCAUUUCCAUUUUUCAAAAAAAUAGGAACUAAGUAGGUAUGAACACAAAUGAUCAUAUGGACAUAAAUAACUAUAUCCGUAGAUAAGUAUAAAUUAAUUAAAAAUAAUAUUCAGUAAUUGUCGCAUGCAUAUCACAUUCUACUCUUCACAUGAUACGAUCAUGUUUUGA